UCUGAGGGUGCUCUGAGGGGACACGGGAGGCUCUGAGGGGACUCUGGGGCUGUGAAGGGACUUUGGUGCUCACAGCGGUCCCGUGGCCCAUGGGCUCUCCCUGCCGGGCCGGGCAGGUCAGGCCACCCUGGGCCGGAGAUGGGGAAGGAGCCUCAGGGGUCCCCUCCAGCCAUGCCCCCAGCGCUGCCUUCCAGGCUCUAUGUUUGCUCCCUACUUCAGAAGAGAUACCAGAAAGCUGCUUAGAAACGGCCUUGGGACUGUGGGACAGGAGUGUGGGAGUUAAUGUGUGGCACAGGGCUGGGUUGAGUACCUGUAUUCAGUGUUUGCUUCUGCGUAUCCCAUCCCCUGGGUACAUUCUACACCUAUAAACCUCAAUCAGGCACCAAUGUACUUCUAUAAAAGAGGACUUAAACCUUUUCCUUCAGGUGGCAACAGGGCUAUGCUGAACUGCCUCACUUCACUGCCACGCCCCUGCACAACCUCUUCAGUUCCAGUAAUUCCCACAUCCCAUGCAGGCAUUGAAAACCAGCCUGGAUUUUGGCUGCAAAGGGGUCGGGUUCCUGGAGAGCCUCUGGAGAGCAGGAUGGAGCAGAUCCCAAGGUCAAACUUUAGUGCCUUGAAUCUUCAGGCUCUCAAAUCCAUGGCAUAUCUGACAGGUACCAAAGCCAGGUUUAAGAGUCCAGUGUUUCCUGGAUCUUUUGGAGCCCUUCCUAGAAAUCAGCCUGGCCUUUGCCACCUCUCCCCCGGUUUGGGAAGGUCAGGGACCUGCUGCCUGUGUCCUGCUGCAGGGUCUGCCCUGAGCACGUGUAGUUUUUCAGCAGAAUUCCCACUUCUGAUGUGUUUGCAAAAUACACUGCUGUUAAUUCUUAUGUGGUAAGCGAAUUACAC